ACUCAAAGGAAUUGACGGGGGCCCGCACAAGCGGUGGAUUAUGUGGUUUAAUUCGAAGCAACGCGCAGAACCUUACCUAGGCUUGACAUCCCACGACAACCGUAGAAAUACGGCUUUGUAGCAAUACACGUGGAGACAGGUGCUGCAUGGCUGUCGUCAGCUCGUGUUGUGAAAUGUUGGGUUAAGUCCCGCAACGAGCGCAACCCCUGGAUUUAGUUGCCAGCAUUAAGUUGGGCACUCUAAAUUAACUGCCAGCGUUAAGCUGGAGGAAGGUGGGGAUGACGUCAAGUCCUCAUGGCCCUUACGCCUAGGGCUACACACGUAAUACAAUGGAUAGGACAAAGGGUCGCGAACCUGCGAGGGGGAGCUAAUCUCAAAAACCUAUCCUCAGUUCGGAUUGGAGGCUGCAAUUCGCCUCCAUGAAGGCGGAAUCGCUAGUAAUCGUGGAUCAGAACGCCACGGUGAAUACGUUCCCGGGCCUUGUACACACCGCCCGU
rnacentral:rRNA from 1 species